CUUAAUUAAGAUAUUCAGUGAGUGCACUGUUGCAAAUUAUGUAAAAAGGAAGCUUGGUAGCCAAGUCUUGUCUUUUUGAGAGUACAGUAUAUGUAUACAGCAUUCAGCAGUGGUGGAAUCAGGUGGUCUUAAAACAACCAAAGUCUUGAGAAACCCAAGCAGACGGACAAAAAGAUGAAGUCGAUGCUCACUUUCACUAUAUUCGCCCCCAGGAUUCCUGCAAAUCUCAGCGAAACAACUGUAUCGGCAGAGCUUGAUGAUAAGCUGAACAUGACCAUGAAAAAUGUCACAAAGGAGACCAAGAGGAAAAAAAUCUUACCAAAAGAUGCAAAAUGCGAUAUCACUUUACCGAAAGAACUUGAUGAGCUGGACACGUCAAUGAAAAAUGUCUCAAAGGAAACAGAGGAAAAGAUCUUACAAAAAGGUGCAAUAAGCAAUAAGACUUUCUCGGGUGAGCUUGAUGAUGAGCUGGACAAAGCAAUAAAAAAUGUCUCAAAGGAGGCUGAGGUAAGAUUAAGUAAAGUUUAGUAACUAAUAGGCUGUAGUACUAUAGUAAGCCUAAACCGUCCACUUUAAUAUGUGGAAUAUGACUGCAAUAUUCAUUUAACCUGUUAUUUCUAGGAAAAGAAAAUCUUACUGAAAGAUGCAAUAAGCGAUAAGACUCCUCAAGAACGCAGAGAUAAGAAAUUAUUUGGAGAG
ensembl:lncRNA